rnacentral:rRNA from 1 species
GGAUCCAGACUUUGAUUCUGGCUCAGGAUGAACGCUGGCGGCGCAUUUAAGACAUGCAAGUCGAACGAAAAUUUACGCUUAAAGAGUUGAUUAGUUUACUAAGAGAUGAUUUAUUGUAAAUUUUAGUGGCGGACUGGUGAGUAAUACAUAGGUAAUCUGCCUUUUAGAGGGGAAUAACUAGGAGAAAUCCUAGCUAAUACCGCGUAAGACCACACUUAGGCAUCUAAGAGAGGUCAAAGGAGUAAUCCGCUAAAAGAUGAGCCUGUGGCUGAUUAGUUAGUUGGUGGGGUAAGAGCCUACCAAGACGAUGAUCAGUAGCCGAGCUGAGAGGCUGGCCGGCCACAUUGGGACUGAGAUACGGCCCAGACUCCUACGGGAGGCAGCAGUUGGGAAUAUUGGACAAUGGAGGAAACUCUGAUCCAGUGACGCCGCGUGAAGGAAGAAGGUCUUCGGAUUGUAAACUUAUUUUAUCAGGGAAGAAGAAAGUGACAGUACCUGAAGAAAAAGGACCGGCAAACUACGUGCCAGCAGCCGCGGUAAUACGUAGGGUCCAAGCGUUAUCCGGAUUUACUGGGUGUAAAGGGCGAGUAGACGGCGCUGUAAGUCAGCUGUAAAAACUUAGGGCUCAACCUUAAGCCUGCAGCUGAAACUGUAGUGCUAGAGUGCAGGAGAGGUAAGCGGAAUUCCUAGUGUAGCGGUGAAAUGCGUAGAUAUUAGGAGGAACACCAGUGGCGAAGGCGGCUUACUGGACUGUAACUGACGUUGAGGCGCGAAAGUGUGGGGAGCAAACAGGAUUAGAUACCCUGGUAGUCCACACCGUAAACGAUGGAUACUAGGUGUAGGCGAGAUAUCGUCUGUGCCGGCGCAAACGCAAUAAGUAUCCCACCUGGGGAGUACGGCCGCAAGGUUGCAACUCAAAGGAAUUGACGG